rnacentral:rRNA from 1 species
GACGAACGCUGGCGGCGUGCUUAACACAUGCCAGUCGUACGGUAAGGCCCUUUCGGGGGUACACGAGUGGCGCACGGGUGAGUAACACGUGAGUAACCUGCCCACAACUUUGGGAUAACGCUAGGAAACUGGUGCUAAUACUGGAUAUGUGCUCCUGCUGCAUGGUGGGGGUUGGAAAGCUCCGGCGGUUGUGGAUGGACUCGCGGCCUAUCAGCUUGUUGGUGGGGUAGUGGCCUACCAAGGCGGCGACGGGUAGCCGGCCUGAGAGGGUGACCGGCCACAUUGGGACUGAGAUACGGCCCAGACUCCUACGGGAGGCGGCAGUGGGGAAUAUUGCACAAUGGGCGCAAGCCUGAUGCAGCAACGCCGCGUGCGGGAUAACGGCCUUCGGGUUGUAAACCGCUUUCAGCAGGGACGAAGCUUUUUGUGACGGUACCUGCAGAAGAAGCACCGGCUAACUACGUA